rnacentral:rRNA from 1 species
GACGAACGCUGGCGGCGUGCUUAACACAUGCAAGUCGAACGGAAAGGCCCUGCUUUUGUGGGGUGCUCGAGUGGCGAACGGGUGAGUAACACGUGAGUAACCUGCCCUUGACUUUGGGAUAACUUCAGGAAACUGGGGCUAAUACCGGAUAGGAGCUCCUGCUGCAUGGUGAGGGUUGGAAAGUUUCGGCGGUUGGGGAUGGACUCGCGGCUUAUCAGCUUGUUGGUGGGGUAGUGGCUUACCAAGGCUUUGACGGGUAGCCGGCCUGAGAGGGUGACCGGCCACAUUGGGACUGAGAUACGGCCCAGACUCCUACGGGAGGCAGCAGUGGGGAAUAUUGCACAAUGGGCGGAAGCCUGAUGCAGCAACGCCGCGUGCGGGAUGACGGCCGUCGGGUUGUAAACCGCUUUCGCCUGUGACGAAGCGUGAGUGACGGUAAUGGGUAAAGAAGCACCGGCUAACUACGUG